rnacentral:rRNA from 1 species
AUUGAACGCUGGCGGCAGGCUUAACACAUGCAAGUCGAGCGGAGUGAUGGUGCUUGCACUAUCACUUAGCGGCGGACAGGUGAGUAAUGCUUAGGAAUCUGCCAUUUAGUGGGGGACAACAUUCCGAAAGUAAUGCUAAUACCGCAUACGUCCUACGGUAGAAAGCAGGGGCUCGUCGGACCUUGCGCUAAAUGAUGAGCCUAAGUCGGAUUAGCUAGUGGGUGGGGUAAAGGCCUACCAAGGCGACGAUCUGUAGCGGGUCUGAGAGGAUGAUACGCCACACGGGGACUGAGACACGGCCCAGACUCCUACGGGAGGCAGCAGUGGGGAAUGUUGGACAAUGGGCGGAAGCCUGAUCCAGCCAUGCCGCGUGUGUGAAGAAGGCCUUUUGGUUGUAAAGCACUUUAAGCGAGGAGGAGGCUCUCCUAGUUAAUACCUAGGAAGAGUGGACGUUACUCGCAGAAUAAGCACCGGCUAACUCUGUGCCAGCAGCCGCUGUAAGAC